AGGGUUCGAUUCUGGCUCAGGAUGAACGCUGGCGGCGUGCUUAACACAUGCAAGUCGAACGGGAUCCAUCAGGCUUUGCUUGGUGGUGAGAGUGGCGAACGGGUGAGUAAUGCGUGACCGACCUGCCCCAUGCACCGGAAUAGCUCCUGGAAACGGGUGGUAAUGCCGGAUGCUCCAUCACAUCGCAUGGUGUGUUGGGAAAGCCUUUGCGGCAUGGGAUGGGGUCGCGUCCUAUCAGCUUGAUGGCGGGGUAACGGCCCACCAUGGCUUCGACGGGUAGCCGGCCUGAGAGGGCGACCGGCCACAUUGGGACUGAGAUACGGCCCAGACUCCUACGGGAGGCAGCAGUGGGGAAUAUUGCACAAUGGGCGCAAGCCUGAUGCAGCGACGCCGCGUGAGGGAUGGAGGCCUUCGGGUUGUAAACCUCUUUUGUUAGGGAGCAAGGCACUUUGUGUUGAGUGUACCUUUCGAAUAAGCACCGGCUAACUACGUGCCAGCAGCCGCGGUAAUACGUAGGGUGCAAGCGUUAUCCGGAAUUAUUGGGCGUAAAGGGCUCGUAGGCGGUUCGUCGCGUCCGGUGUGAAAGUCCAUCGCUUAACGGUGGAUCCGCGCCGGGUACGGGCGGGCUUGAGUGCGGUAGGGGAGACUGGAAUUCCCGGUGUAACGGUGGAAUGUGUAGAUAUCGGGAAGAACACCAAUGGCGAAGGCAGGUCUCUGGGCCGUUACUGACGCUGAGGAGCGAAAGCGUGGGGAGCGAACAGGAUUAGAUACCCUGGUAGUCCACGCC
rnacentral:rRNA from 1 species